GACGAACGCUGGCGGCGUGCCUAAUACAUGCAAGUAGAACGCUGAAGAGAGGAGCUUGCUCUUCUUGGAUGAGUUGCGAACGGGUGAGUAACGCGUAGGUAACCUGCCUUGUAGCGGGGGAUAACUAUUGGAAACGAUAGCUAAUACCGCAUAACAAUGGAUGACUCAUGUCAUUUAUUUGAAAGGGGCAAAUGCUCCACUACAAGAUGGACCUGCGUUGUAUUAGCUAGUAGGUGAGGUAACGGCUCACCUAGGCGACGAUACAUAGCCGACCUGAGAGGGUGAUCGGCCACACUGGGACUGAGACACGGCCCAGACUCCUACGGGAGGCAGCAGUAGGGAAUCUUCGGCAAUGGGGGCAACCCUGACCGAGCAACGCCGCGUGAGUGAAGAAGGUUUUCGGAUCGUAAAGCUCUGUUGUAAGUCAAGAACGAGUGUGAGAGUGGAAAGUUCACACUGUGACGGUAGCUUACCAGAAAGGGACGGCUAACUACGUGCCAGCAGCCGCGGUAACACGUAGGUCCCGAGCGUUGUCCGGAUUUAUUGGGCGUAAAGCGAGCGCAGGCGGUUUGAUAAGUCUGAAGUUAAAGGCUGUGGCUCAACCAUAGUUCGCUUUGGAAACUGUCAAACUUGAGUGCAGAAGGGGAGAGUGGAAUUCCAUGUGUAGCGGUGAAAUGCGUAGAUAUAUGGAGGAACACCGGUGGCGAAAGCGGCUCUCUGGUCUGUAACUGACGCUGAGGCUCGAAAGCGUGGGGAGCGAACAGG
rnacentral:rRNA from 1 species